GGGCCGUGAGGGGGCUGUGGCGGAGCCCCCGGGCCGGGGUCGCCCCUCGGUCCGGCUGGGACCGGAGGCUGCCCCAGGGACAGCGGAGGGGACCCGGGGGCUCUGCGUCCUCCUCGCCGCGAUGGAUGAGCGCAGAAAUCUUGUCCGUGAGGAACCACGGCCCACAUUCGGCCUUUGCAUGGUGACGGGGCUCUACUCCAAACAUGGAUCAACAGCUCCAGGCUGCCUCUUCCUAAGGCCUUCCCAAAAACGCCUCUUCCCAAAUCACAUCAGAGUUGUGGUGUUUCACCUUCCACAGUGCUGAACAGAGAUGAAGACAAAGCUGAAAGUUGAGCAGACCCUACACAAAGGACCCCUGGAGAGACAAAGCUUUGUCACCUGAACCUUGUCUAGGAAAACACAGCAACAACUCUUCACCUUCCUGAAAGGAGCAGCUCCUGGAGCAAGGUAUAACAGGGCUCCUUAAACCCCCUGUCAUUCUAUCCACCUUCCAGGGAAGCUCAGACAACUCU